rnacentral:lncRNA from 1 species
AGCAGGGCUGAGACAGGGCCGCGGCAGGCCCGGAGGGGGCCGGCAGCUGCCCGGGGAUGGCUCUGGCUGCGGGAACCGGCCCCAGGCAGGGCCAGGGCAGGCCCCGGGUGCCCUCGUAGCAGGGCCUGCAGCGGGGAGCCUCCCUUCCUCUCACCUUCGCCACUCUGGACAGGGUCCACCACUAACCUGGGGAGGGGAAGGGAAUAGUCUCUGCGGUAGAAAAUAAAAGCGAUUAGAAGCCACAGAGGAUUAUUGAUCCAUGAUAAUUGAUCCAUUGUCUGCCAAUAAAAGAGGACUAAGUGGGAGCUCAUAUUUUUGGAGCAGGGGAGUAAGCUCCAGUGUUAUCUCAUGAGUUGCAUGAAAAAAGCUGUUUGUAAGAUGACAGAGAGGAUGGCUAGUACCUGCUCUGCUAGUGGUAAAAGCAGGUAUGGCCAGAGGUGAAAGACUGAGUAUUGUGACCAGAGAAAAGACAGUAACAGGAAUCAAGACACAGCAGGGAAUGAGUCAAGUUGCAGAAAUUCAAAAUCACAGAAAAAAAUCAAUCUGGCCACAUUAAAUGGAGCUGAGAAGACAAGGGAGACAGUUGAACUUGCAUAUCAGCAGCAGCAUCUGGGAAAGUGGGUCAAAUGGAGGAUUAGCAGUAUGAAAGUGAAGGCAGUCGAAGCAGGCAUCAUACUCGCAAGAGGAGACAGGAGUGGAGCUGGACAGGUGAAAACAAAAGGUGUGCUGAGGGAGUGGAUUCCCCUCCAAGUAAUGAAGAAGGUGCUCUGUCGGGAGGCAGUACACUUAUUACACACAGCUUGCAUCUCUGAGGAAAUCAAAUGUGAGGUCAGAUCUCCACAUUUGACAGUUUCCCUGUGCCAAACUGACAUCAACAUGAGUAAUGAAGCAUGUCACGGCACCCUUCUCAAAAAACCACAAUUUCUAACUCCUGAAGAACUUCAUUUGGAAACAGCAAUUCUGAAGCAUGCACAGAAGAAUAAACCUGUUUAAGUUCUAUCUUAUACAACAUACUGAACUGAUGACAAGGAGUUGGAAGUAGCACAGGUCUGUGCUAUAGGGAUGGUGGUAUUUCAAGAUACUACUUUCUCUUCCCCAUUACACAAUCCAGAGUACUCAACAGGCUGUGCUGCAUACACAACAGACCUCCCCCGAAAGAAAUCCACGAGUUCAGGAAAACAUUACACAGAAAUAAUGAUUGCCUGGAGCAAAACUAUUAAACUGUAUUUGAUCAUUCUAAAUUUAUAAAAAUAAUACAGAAAACCAUUAAAUUUCCCUUCUCUCUCUUUUUUUUUUUUUUUUUUUGGCUCUGCACCAAAUACAGAUCUUAUGUAAUAACACAG